rnacentral:rRNA from 1 species
UACGUAGGGGGCGAGCGUUGUCCGAAGUUACUGGGCGUAAAGCGCGCGUAGGCGGGUCGUUAAGUGGGAAGUGAAAGGCUGGGGCUCAACUCCAGCAGUGCCUCUCAUACUGGCAGUCUUGAGGGCGGUAGAGAGAAGUGGAAUGGCUGGUGUAGCGGUGAAAUGCGUAGAUAUCGGGAGGAACAUCAGUGGCGAAGGCGGCUGCCUGGCCCAAUACUGACACUCAGGUGCGACAGCGUGGGGAGCAAACAGG